GCUGGUGUGGCCGAGUGGUCUAAGGCGGUAGAUUUAAGCAAAUGCGAAAACUCUACUGGAGAGAUCCGCGCGAGUUCGAACCUCGUCGCCAGCA